GUGCUGGCUUCGGGAGCACAUAUAGUAAAACUGGAACAAUACAGAGAAGAUUAGCAUAGCCCCUGCGCAAGGAUGGCAUGCAAGUUCGUGAAGCAUUAUAUAUCUUU
ensembl:snRNA U6 U6 spliceosomal RNA